rnacentral:rRNA from 1 species
CUAAGCGUUCCCGGUGGAUGCCCUGGAAGGAAGAGAGGAUGAAGGGCGUGCUAAUCUGCGAUAAGCGCCGGUAAGGUGAUAUGAACCGUUAUAACCGGCGAUACCCGAAUGGGGAAACCCAGUGUGACUCGUCACACUAUCAUUAACUGAAUCCAUAGGUUAAGGAGGCGAUCCGAGUGAAGUGAAACAUCUAAGUACCCCGAGGAGAAGAGAUCAACCGAUAUUCCCCCAGUAGCGGCUAGCGAACGGGGAGCA